CCUACGGGUGGCAGCAGUGGGGAAUAUUGCACAAUGGGGGGAACCCUGAUGCAGCGACGCCGCGUGAGUGAAGAAGUAUUUCGGUAUGUAAAGCUCUGUCAGCAGGGAAGAAGAAAGACGGUACCUGACCAAGAAGCCCCGGCUAACUACGUGCCAGCAGCCGCGGUAAUACGUAGGGGGCAAGCGUUCUCCGGAUUUACUGGGUGUAACGGGAGCGUAGACGGCAGGGCACGUCUGGCGUGAACGGCAGGGGCCCAACCCCUGGACUGCUCUGGAAACUGGCCGGCGGGAGUGCAGGAGAGGUAAGUGGAAGUACUAGGGUAGCGGGGAAAUGCGGAGAUAGUAGGAGGAACACCAGUGGCGAAGGCGGCUUACUGGACUGUAACUGACGUGGAGGCUCGAAAGCGUGGGGAGCAAACAGGAUUAGAUACCCCUGUAGUC
rnacentral:rRNA from 1 species